UACGGAGGGUGCAAGCGUUAUCCGGAUUUACUGGGUUUAAAGGGAGCGCAGGCGGAUUGGUAAGUCAGUGGUGAAAUACCCGUGCUUAACAUGGGAACUGCCAUCGAUACUAUCAGUCUUGAAUGUUGUUGAGGUUUGCGGAAUGGGUCAUGUAGCGGUGAAAUGCUUAGAUAUGACAUAGAACACCCAUUGCGAAGGCAGCUUACUACACGAUCAUUGACGCUGAGGCACGAAAGCGUGGGGAGCAAACAGG
rnacentral:rRNA from 1 species